GACUCAUAAGCUUAGUGGUUGAGCGUCCUCCUUCACAAGCGAAUUGUUUUCAGUUCGCUUGUGAAGGGGAAGGGUCCAGUUCGAUUCUGGAAUGAGUCACCA
rnacentral:tRNA from 1 species